rnacentral:lncRNA from 1 species
CCAUUAGGAGGCUUGCCUCUGUAGAAAACAAGUGUCUUCUUCAUUCCGACAACUUGGUUGUUGCCUUUUGAAGUAACAAUUUGUUUGUCCAAGCCAGUUGCCUUCCAAUAACCCGAAUUUGUGGCUCUGUUGGAGCGAUUUCCGUUGGGAUAUUUGGCCACUUUGGUGCUAAAGAAGUAUCUCUCUUGCUCCAAAUCACCUAAAAAUGGGGGCAUGGAAUUGAAAUUAGAGAAAGAGAAAGGGGAUGAUGGGUGUGAAUGGAAAAUAGAAAGGAACCUGGCAAAUCCCAAGGAUCAGACUUGCAAACAUGAAGCUCAGGAAUGAUAGAGGCUGGCAAAGGGCAGGAGAAGACCUUGCGCUUCAAGUAUUGCAGAACCAGCUCCUCAUCAGUCGGGUGGAAACGGAACCCCGGAGGCAAUCUAAGCUCUCCAUUCUUCACAAAAUUCACCUUCUCCAUGCUAAUAAUAUAUUUUUGUGU